AAUAUACUUCUUCCGUCCGAAAAUACUUGUCAUUGAAAUGGAUGUAUCUAGAUGUAUUUUAAUUCUAGACACAUCCAUUUUGAUGACAAGUAAUUCCGGACGGAGGGAGUACUAU
rnacentral:pre_miRNA from 1 species